UCCAGCUCCAAUAGCGUAUAUUAAAGUUGUUGCAGUUAAAAAGCUCGUAGUUGGAUUUCUGGCAGGAGUGACUGACCACAAACUCUGUUUGUGAGUUGUGUCAUUCUGGCCAUCCUUGGUAAGAUCCUUUUUGGCAUUAAGUUGUCGGGAAGGGGAUGACCAUCGUUUACUGUGAAAAAAUUAGAGUGUUUAAAGCAGGCUUAUGCCGUUGAAUAUAUUAGCAUGGAAUAAUAAGAUAGGACUUUGAGUCUAUUUUGUUGGUUUGCGAGUCAAAGUAAUGAUUAAUAGGGACAGUUGGGGGUAUUCGUAUUUCAUUGUCAGAGGUGAAAUUCUCGGAUU
rnacentral:rRNA from 1 species